CCAAUAGCGUAUAUUAAAGUUGUUGCAGUUAAAAGGCUCGUAGUUGAAUUUCGGGGUUCAUACGUUGGUCGGGCUUUUUGGUCUGUACUAGCGUAAUGGAUUCCUACCUUCUGAAUAACCGGCAUGCCAUUAAUUUGGUGCGCCGGGGAAGCAGGACUGUUACCUUGAAAAAAUUAGAGUGCUUAAAGCAGGCUAUCGCCUGAAUACAUUAGCAUGGAAUAAUGAAAUAGGACGGCAUGGUUCUAUUUUGUUGGUUUCUAGGAUCACCGUAAUGAUUAAGAGGGAUAGUUGGGGGCAUUAGUAUUCAAUUGUCAGAGGUGAAAUUCUUGGAUUUAUUGAAGACUAACUUCUGCGAAAGCAUUUGCCAAGGAUGUUUUCAUUAAUCAGGAACGAAAGUUAGGGGAUCGAAGACGAUCAGAUACCGUCGUAGUCUUAACCAUAAACUAUGCCGACUAGGGAUCGGACGAUGUUAAUUUUUUAAUGACUCGUUCGGCGCCUUACG
rnacentral:rRNA from 1 species